GACGAACGCUGGCGGCGUGCUUAACACAUGCAAGUCGAAUGGAAAGGCCCUGCUUUUGUGGGGUGCUCGAGUGGCGAACGGGUGAGUAACACGUGAGUAACCUGCCCUUGACUUUGGGAUAACUUCAGGAAACUGGGGCUAAUACCGGAUAGGAGCUCCUGCUGCAUGGUGGGGGUUGGAAAGUUUCGGCGGUUGGGGAUGGACUCGCGGCUUAUCAGCUUGUUGGUGGGGUAGUGGCUUACCAAGGCUUUGACGGGUAGCCGGCCUGAGAGGGUGACCGGCCACAUUGGGAAUGAGAUACGGCCCCGACUCCUACGGGAGGCAGCAGUGGGGAAUAUUGCACAAUGGGCGGAAGCCUGAUGCAGCAAAGCCGCGUGCGGGAUGACGGCCUUCGGGUUGUAAACCGCUUUCGCCUGUGACGAAGCGUGAGUGACGGUAAUGGGUAAAGAAGCACCGGCUAACUACGUG
rnacentral:rRNA from 1 species